AUUGAACGCUGGCGGCAUGCCUUACACAUGCAAGUCGAACGGCAGCGGACCUUCGGGUGCCGGCGAGUGGCGAACGGGUGAGUAAUGCAUCGGAACGUGCCAUUGAGUGGGGGAUAACGUAGCGAAAGUUACGCUAAUACCGCAUAUUCUGUGAGCAGGAAAGCAGGGGAUCGCAAGACCUUGCGCUCUGGGAGCGGCCGAUGUCGGAUUAGCUAGUUGGUGGGGUAAAGGCCUACCAAGGCGACGAUCCGUAGCGGGUCUGAGAGGAUGAUCCGCCACACUGGGACUGAGACACGGCCCAGACUCCUACGGGAGGCAGCAGUGGGGAAUUUUGGACAAUGGGCGGAAGCCUGAUCCAGCCAUGCCGCGUGAGUGAAGAAGGCCUCGGUUGUAAG
rnacentral:rRNA from 1 species